UGUUUUAUAAUGUUUUAUUAGUUAGUUAGUAUUUUUGUUGUUUUGUUCUUAUCCAAUUGUCCACCUUUUUCGACAAUGACAGUAUCAGAUGUACGACCACCAAAGCCAGGUGAAAUAAAGGGUAGACACCGUAGUACUGCUACACUCAGGCCCCAGACAAUAUUU